rnacentral:rRNA from 1 species
AUUGAACGCUGGCGGCAUGCUUUACACAUGCAAGUCGAACGGUAACAGGUUAAGCUGACGAGUGGCGAACGGGUGAGUAAUGCAUCGGAACGUGCCCGGUCGUGGGGGAUAACGCAGCGAAAGCUGCGCUAAUACCGCAUACGAUCUGAGGAUGAAAGCGGGGGACCGUAAGGCCUCGCGCGAUCGGAGCGGCCGAUGUCAGAUUAGGUAGUUGGUGGGGUAAAGGCUCACCAAGCCAACGAUCUGUAGCUGGUCUGAGAGAACGACCAGCCACACUGGGACUGAGACACGGCCCAGACUCCUACGGGAGGCAGCAGUGGGGAAUUUUGGACAAGGGGCGAAAGCCUGAUCCAGCAAUGCCGCGUGCAGGAAGAAGGCCUUCGGGUUGUAAACUGCUUUUGUACGGAGCGAAAAGGUCUCCUCUAAUACAGGGGGCUCAUGACGGUACCGUAAGAAUAAGCUCCGGCUAACUUCGUGCCAGCCGCCGCCGUAA